rnacentral:rRNA from 1 species
CAGUCGCCACGGGAAUACGAAGGGGGCUAGCGUUGCUCGGAAUCACUGGGCGUAAAGGGUGCGUAGGCGGGUCUUUAAGUCAGGGGUGAAAUCCUGGAGCUCAACUCCAGAACUGCCUUUGAUACUGAAGAUCUUGAGUUCGGGAGAGGUGAGUGGAACUGCGAGUGUAGAGGUGAAAUUCGUAGAUAUUCGCAAGAACACCAGUGGCGAAGGCGGCUCACUGGCCCGAUACUGACGCUGAGGCACGAAAGCGUGGGGAGCAAACAGGAUUAGAUACCCCCGUAGUCCCUGUCUCUUAUAC